rnacentral:lncRNA from 1 species
AUUCCUCUGUUUUUUGCAGGAAAAGGAACAGCAUACAGUGGAACAAGAAAAGAGCAGUAUUGUAUUGGAACCAGUUGCAGAGUCCUUUCUGAGAUAAAACAGCCCAUGAAGUUACAGCUGUCAAGCCCCAGGAUAGUCUACACAUGCAUUUGGGAGAAGAAGGAAGAAAAAAUAUAGGUGUGAAUUGGUUUCUUUGGUCACAUUUGUCUUAUCCAGCAAUAUCUUCAAACCACAACAAGUACAUGAUUUUAAAAGCAUAUGGGAAAAAAGCAUAUGUAAGCCAGGCGCAGUGGUGCACGCCUGUGAUCCCAGCAGCUUGAGAGUUCAAAGCCAACUUCAGCAAAAGUGAGGUGCUAAGCAACUCAGUGAGACUCUAAAUAAAAUACAAAAUAGGGCUGGGGAUGUGGUUCAGUGGUUGAGUGUCCUGAUACCCAGCCCCCCGCCCCCCCAAAAGUAUAUGUAUUGCUAGAUUUAAGUUUUUGUUUGUUUGUUUGGUUGUUUUUUUUAUUUCAAAUUUAAGUCCUGCCUGGGACAAAGAAAAAACACUUUUU